rnacentral:rRNA from 1 species
CUAACACAUGCAAGUCGAGCGAGGUAGCAAUACCUAGCGGCAGACGGGUGCGUAACAUGUGGGAAUCUGCCUUUUGGUUCGGAACAACACGGGGAAACCUGUGCUAAUACCGGAUAAGUCCUAACGGAGAAAGUUUUAUGCACCAUUGGAUGAGCCCGCACUUGAUUAGUUAGUUGGUAGGGUAAUGGCCUACCAAGACUGUGAUCAAUAGCUGAUUUGAGAGGAUGAUCAGCCACAUUGGGACUGAGAUACGGCCCAGACUCC